rnacentral:rRNA from 1 species
UACGGAGGGAGCUAGCGUUGCUCGGAAUCACUGGGCGUAAAGCGCACGUAGGCGGAUUCUUAAGUCGGUGGUGAAAUCCUGGAGCUCAACUCCAGAACUGCCUUCGAUACUGAGAGUCUUGAGUUCGGGAGAGGUGAGUGGAACUGCGAGUGUAGAGGUGAAAUUCGUAGAUAUUCGCAAGAACACCAGUGGCGAAGGCGGCUCACUGGCCCGAUACUGACGCUGAGGUGCGAAAGCGUGGGGAGCAAACAGG